rnacentral:tRNA from 1 species
GCGGAAGUGGCGGAACUGGCAGACGCGCACGAUUCAGGUUCGUGUGGGGAGACCCGUGGAGGUUCGAGUCCUCUCUUCCGCA